rnacentral:lncRNA from 1 species
UUUUUAUUAUUGUUAUAAUUCACUGUUUAAUGUAAUGCUUUAAGUAGGAAUACAAGUCAGCAGAAGUACAUAUACAUAUAUUGCAUGUAAUUUCAGUUGUGUCUUCAAGAUAUUUCAAACCCUCACCGUCUCAGUCCUUCAUCAGUUGUUUUGGUGAAACACCUUCCUUCGAUCUGCAUAACAUACAUAAAUGUUGCUGAAUAACACAGAUGUUUUUCUUCCAAAUAAAGCACAACAUUGCAUCCAUAUUCCCAGUUAAUAAACUUUAUCAAACUUUGCUUUCACUGUAUGAAUGUUGUGUAUAAUAUGUGCAUAUCUAUACAGCAUAUAUAAAUAUAUAUCUAUAAUGUAUAUAUAAUCAAGUGGGUCAGUUUUACACAGCUAACCAUAAACUUGUGCUUAUCUUCUUUAUAUGAGAUCAAAUGUACAGCAUCAAAAUUUGACUAGUCCCCAACUUGUAAAAUCCUCAGUUCCCAGUUUUACCAUACAAUUUUAGAUAUGACAUACAUGUAAUGCAUUCCCUUCUUUCUUGCAGUAGUAUUUUCUUUUGAAAAAAGGAAUUCAGUUGGGUUUUUGUAUAAAUGAAUAACAGGUUUUCCAUACCCUUAAGUUAAAAAAAGUCUCAGGAAGAGAUUAAGUUCUUCCUUGUAUACAGAGCUUGAAGAGUAAUUGGACAUUCGUCAUAGAUAUAUUUACAUUGUAACUUUAUCUGGAUAGUAUUACACAUAAUAUAUUAUUUGUUUAUACAGUCAAGUUAAUGGUGUUUGUCAUGUUAAAACACACUAUCUAGAGGUAUUUACAAACUGGUAGUUUCUAACUUACCAACCAAGUCUGCAAAGUGGCACCAGAAUUAAGGGAUAAGAUAGAAGAAGGUCUGUUUAUCAGCAACCAUGGCACUCUCACCAGUGUCUUUAUUAUUAUUACUACCACUUCUACCAUGAUGUGCUUCAGAGAAAGGUUGUCUUUGGGGUAGAGGUGAAGAGACAGAGCCUCCAGUGGAGGCAGAAAUUGCCCCAUGCUCCCUACAGCCUACCCGAGCUGGAGAAACAGAGAAGCAAUCUAACUGUGACCUGCCUGUCCCUUUGCUAGUUAGGACAUGACAAGCUUGUCCCCCUGUGCUUUCUUCAGUGUUGUCAGGUGAGUCAGUCCAAACACUAAAAAUCCAGUGAAAUCCUUCCUUCCAAAGGCCACUGAAACACGGACUGUGAUCAUACUGCCUCAACUACCAUCUACAACCACUUCUCACAGUGUGUCAGAGCUCUUUAGGGCAUCUCAAAGAAAACAGUUUCUGUGUGCUUCUACACAAGUACAGUCAAAAAGAAACAAAAAUAAAAAAAGAAAAAAGAAACUCACUAUAGAAAGAUGAAAAAGAGUUGUUACCUAAUGGCACUUCUCAGGUUAUGCAGAGCUUUGGAAGGCAAAAAGACACCAGAAUUUGUUUCCCUUUAUUUUGUUAAUACCAGAAUGAAAUGUGUAUAAAAAAAUCUAAGCAGUAUUCUGAAAGAUGAGGUUUGGGGGAAUUGAUAAGCUUGUGUAACCCACGGGUUCCACAAUAUAGCCAAAGAGGCCAUAGCAAAAGGAGGGAAGCAAAAAUACAGGAGAAAGAAUUGAACUGAUUGCUGUAAAUGUUUCAUGUCCAACUCAACCUUGUUAUAAUUACAUUCUUAGGCUUCAUUUCUCAGUGAAUACUCUGCUAGCAAGCACAAGAAUGAAAAGGGAUUUGGGGGAACAGAGGGCUGCCUUAGCAUUGCACAUGGCAUAAAAUUAAUCCAUGCACGUUGCGGCAUGAUAUUCUGCUACGAGAAUAUUCAGUCUUUGUCACUAUCCUCCAUUAUUUCUAAUAUGGAGGUCACAAAACUGGGAAAGAAGAGAAUUGAUUUGGCUUUGUUUCACACAAGGGUUGGGGGUUUUUUUACAUCCAAUUUAAAGCCCAUGCAGAAAGGAUUUAUGGAACAUCUCACUCCACACAGCAGCUUGGGCUUCAGUGGAGGGGGAUUUGCAUGCUAGAGGGGGCAGUAUUUUGGUGGGGUUAAAGAGUUUGAAUACCCACAUUCACAGUGCCUGAAAUGGAAGAGAAACUGCACACCUGCAGCUGAAACACACAUGGCAUACUUGUUAAAGGGGGGAAAGUAGAAAGCUUUUUGUCAAGACUGUGACAAAAGAAGAAAGGCAGAGAAAUGGGAAAAGAAGCCACAGCAAAUUAAGGACCAUCCCUCAGCUUCCUUCAGGGAAAGAUUUUCUAUAAAUUAAAACAAACAAACAAAAAAGUUUCUUAAAAGUCUAGGGCUUUUCAUGAUGUACAAGAACAAUAAAAGCGAUAAUGCAUAGGAAUCAUACCCCUAGCAAGUGCCUCCAGACAUGUUAUAUAAAACAUCUGUAGACCCAGGGGUGAAAAAAAAGCUGCUUUUUAGCUUCUCAAUUUCUACAACUUGCAAUUCUGUCAGCUGAGAGUACAGAGCCAUCUAGGAGGGGACCUUUAAAAAUAUCAAAGGUAUUAGACAGUUAGCCCACUAACUGUCAGCAAACACCCCCCACCGAGGACCAGAUUUUCUUUUCCUGAUGUUCCUUUCCUACAACUGUAGC